CAUUUCAAGCAUUGCAAACUCAAUGAUUCAAAAACUUUUAAACCUGUUACUUCAUUUUCUCCAAACUCCUAAUCAUCUGGCCUUCAUCUUCCCGGCUAUACUAUCCUUUUUAAAGACAGAGCUGUACAUUUUUGCACCACCUCUGACAUAACCUACCUGGAUUCCAGGAUUCUGCAGACAAGACCAAAGGUCUGGGGUCAGGCACCCUGAAAUGAAGAACAAAAAUCGGUGACCGACUGCGAAAAAGAAUGAAGUAACUUGCCUUUUGCCCCAUAGGAACGUGACGGAAACAAGGACAUCUCUCUCUAGCUUCUUUAGUGAUGUGAUCAUUUUUACUUCUGCAAACUCCUUAGUAUCAAAGCAGAGCUCUGAACUUUAAUGGUUGCAUCAGGUAAAGUAGAUAUUAUACAGGGAGAAGUACAGUUGAGAAUUUUAUUACAUUAUCCUAAACCAAAAACCAUUUGAUAACACUUCAGCAUAAGUGAGUACAGCCAGUACAUGCUUACCUAGCAUCAGCCCAGUGAAUUGGGCUGCUUCAUUUUGCAGAAUAAAGCUGUAACAGGGACAGACAUGCAAAACACCCCCAAAACACCUUUUCAAUCACAUUAAAUUUAAGACUGAUUCUACAACCUAAAGACAGUAUUUUAUCAUAAUGAAACAGUUAUUGUUUAUUGUGAUUAAAUUUAAUUUGUAUCACUCUCUCUGUAUGUGAGCAUACUUUGCUGUAGCAUGUUGUGAGCAUACUUAACUUCUGCUGUUUUGAACGUUUGUAUAGAAAGUGCCCUUCCAGAGGACCCUGUUCACUGCUGCACUUUUGGGGAAAGAAAAAAUAAACUGCCUAUCAAACUUC